rnacentral:rRNA from 1 species
AACGAACGCUGGCGGCAUGCCUAACACAUGCAAGUCGAACGAGACCUUCGGGUCUAGUGGCGCACGGGUGCGUAACGCGUGGGAACCUGCCCUUAGGUUCGGAAUAACUCCCCGAAAGGGGUGCUAAUACCGGAUAAUGUCUUCGGACCAAAGAUUUAUCGCCUUUGGAUGGGCCCGCGUUGGAUUAGCUAGUUGGUAGGGUAAGCCUACCAAGGCGACGAUCCAUAGCUGGUCUGAGAGGAUGAUCAGCCACACUGGGACUGAGACACGGCCCAGACUCCUACGGGAGGCAGCAGUGGGGAAUAUUGGACAAUGGGCGAAAGCCUGAUCCAGCAAUGCCGCGUGAGUGAUGAAGGCCUUAGGGUUGUAAAGCUCUUUUACCCGGGAUGAUAAUGACAGUACCGGGAGAAUAAGCUCCGGCUAACUCCGUG